rnacentral:rRNA from 1 species
AGAGUUUGAUCCUGGCUCAGGAUGAACGCUGGCGGCGUGCUUAACACAUGCAAGUCGAACGAGGUCCAUGGAGCUUGCUCCGGAAGACCUAGUGGCGAACGGGUGCGUAACACGUGAGAAACCUGCCCCGAUCUCUGGGAUAACAGUUGGAAACGACUGCUAAUACCGGAUGCCAUCACACCGCUUCAUGGCGGAGUGCUGAAAGAUUUAUCGGAUUGGGAGGGUCUCGCGGCCUAUCAGCUAGUUGGAGAGGUAACGGCUCACCAAGGCAUCGACGGGUAGCUGGUCUGAGAGGAUGAUCAGCCACACUGGAACUGAGACACGGUCCAGACUCCUACGGGAGGCAGCAGUGGGGAAUCUUGCACAAUGGGCGAAAGCCUGAUGCAGCAACGCCGCGUGCGGGACGAAGGCCCUAGGGUUGUAAACCGCUUUCAGUAGGGAAGAAAAUGACGGUACCUACAGAAGAAGGUGCGGCCAACUACGUGCCAGCAGCCGCGGUGACACGUAGGCACCAAGCGUUAUCCGGAUUUAUUGGGCGUAAAGAGCUCGUAGGCGGUUUGGUAAGUCGGGUGUGAAAACUCUGGGCUCAACCCAGAGAGGCCACUCGAUACUGCUAUGACUAGAGUACGGUAGGGGAGCGGGGAAUUCAUGGUGUAGCGGUGAAAUGCGCAGAUAUCAUGAGGAACACCAGCGGCGAAGGCGCCGCUCUGGGCCGUAACUGACGCUGAGGAGCGAAAGCAUGGGUAGCAAACAGGAUUAGAUACCCUGGUAGUCCAUGCCGUAAACGUUGGGCACUAGGUGUGGGUCUCAACCAACGAGAUCCGCGCCGUCGCUAACGCAUUAAGUGCCCCGCCUGGGGAGUACGGUCGCAAGACUAAAACUUAAAGGAAUUGAUGG